AACGAACGCUGGCGGCAUGCCUAACACAUGCAAGUCGAACGAGAUCCUUCGGGGUCUAGUGGCGCACGGGUGCGUAACGCGUGGGAAUCUGCCCUUAGGUUCGGAAUAACAGUUAGAAAUGACUGCUAAUACCGGAUGAUGACGUUAAGUCCAAAGAAUUAUCGCCUGAGGAUGAGCCCGCGUAGGAUUAGCUAGUUGGUGUGGUAAAGGCUCACCAAGGCGACGAUCCUUAGCUGGUCUGAGAGGAUGAUCAGCCACACUGGGACUGAGACACGGCCCAGACUCCUAGGGGAGGCAGCAGUGGGGAAUAUUGGACAAUGGGCGCAAGACUGAUCCAGCAAUGCCGCGUGAGUGAUGAAGGCCUUAGGGUUGUAAAGCUCUUUUACCCGAGAUGAUAAUGACAGUAUCGGGAGAAUAAGCCCCGGCUAACUCCGUG
rnacentral:rRNA from 1 species